CGGGUGCUCUGAUCCGGCCGGGCCUUUCCCUCUGUGAAACCCCAUGGCUUUCACGGGCUGUGCGGGGGAAACAGGACUUUUACUGUGAAAAAAUUAGAGUGCUCCAGGCAGGCCUAUGCUCGAAUACAUUAGCAUGGAAUAAUAGAAUAGGACGCGUGGUUCUAUUUUGUUGGUUUCUAGGACCGCCGUAAUGAUUAAUAGGGACAGUCGGGGGCAUCAGUAUUCAAUUGUCAGAGGUGAAAUUCUUGGAUCUAUUGAAGACUAACUACUGCGAAAGCAUUUGACCCAGGACAUCUCCAUUGAUCAAGGGCUAAAGUUGAGGGAUCGAAGACGAUUAGAUACCGUCGUAGUCUUAACCACAAACGAUGCCGACUGGAGAUCGGGCUUGACUAUUGAGGCUUGCUCGGGAUCUUAGCGAAAGCAAAGUUUUUGGGUUCUGGGGGGAGUACGGCUCGCAAGGCUGAAACUUAAAGGAAUUGACGGAAGGGCACCACCAGGAGUGGAGCCUGCGGCUUAAUUUGACUCAACACGGGGAAACUCACCAGGUCCAGACAUACGGAGGAUUGACAGAUUGAAAGCUCUUUCUAGAUUGUAUGGGUGGUGGUGCAUGGCCGUUCUUAGUUCGUGGAGUGAUUUGUCUGGUUAAUUCCGAUAACGAACGAGACCUUAUUCUGCUAAAUAGACAGACUCAUUUUUUAAUGGGGUUGAAGGCUUCGGUCUUUGCUGUCUU
rnacentral:rRNA from 1 species